UACAGAGGUGGCAAGCGUUGUUCGGAAUUACUGGGCGUAAAGGGCGCGUAGGCGGUUCCGUAAGUCCCGCGUGAAAUCCCCCGGCUCAACUGGGGAACUGCGCGGGAAACUGUGGGGGCUAGAGUUCAGGAGAGGGAAGCGGAAUUCCGGGUGUAGCGGUGAAAUGCGUAGAUAUCCGGAGGAACACCGGUGGCGAAGGCGGCUUCCUGGACUGACACUGACGCUGAGGCGCGAAAGCGUGGGGAGCAAACAGG
rnacentral:rRNA from 1 species